UGCAGGGGCAUGACUACAUAGUUCUCCAUCCGGACGAGAUAGUAGGGGGCAUAAUUAGUUAUAUUGAAUUUGUACAAUUAUUCAGCUACCAGGAGGAGGACAAUUUCUAGUCGUUGAACUUUGCACCAAUCUCAUCGGUUCUAUUUUUCCUUAGAAUAGUAGGUCUGCUUGGGAAUCACUGUGAUUGACUUUGUGUUCCUUUGGCCACAGGAAAAGAACUAGUACGACACAUAUUUCAUAUACCUACAUCUUUAAAAUAUAUUGCGUGAAAUCAGUUUGUGUUAUAAAACAUAUACUAUAAAUAAAGUUGUAAUUUGAUAAAUUCUUA